CAUUUUCUUCUCCCUAUAUAUAGAGCAACGAGAGCUAGCUCUUAUGCUCCACACAAAAUUAGUUUAAUCAUAUACAAUAAAUUCAUAAUGAAAAUAUCAUCAAUAGCUUUCCCAUGCCUUGGAAUGGCUUUCAUGGCAUUUUUUCUGGUUUCGUGUAAUGCAGCACCUGCUAUUGUGCGUGACAUGAAUGGUGACAUACUCCGAGAGGGCGCUAACUACUACAUCAUUAUGCCGGUGGACCACGGAAAGGCCGGUGCAGUAACUUUGUCGAGUAGGAAUGGCUCCUGACCACUUGAUGACGUUCAGAGCAAAUAUGGGACCGAUAAAAGAUACCUUAACAUUUUCUCAUUCACACCAGUUAAUCUCAAAACAGGCGUGGUUCGUGAGUCGACUGAUCUUAACAUCGAAGCUGCAGGUGGAUCAUACUGCGGAAAGCCGGUCUGGAAGCUAGACAGUUACGGGGGAGAGUUUGUUGUGAGUACCCUGGGAGUAAAAGGAAAUCCUGGAGCUAAAACUAUAGGCAACUGGUUCAAGAUUGAAAAAUAUUUGAAUCACUACAAGUUUGUGUAUUGCCCAUCAGUAUGCAAAACUUGCAAAGCAAUGUGCAAAGACAUCGGCAUUUCGAGGAAGGGUAAGAGUGGAAGAUUGGUUCUUAAUGAUAAACCAUUCAUGGUUUCAUUCAAGAAGUUCUAAAUGUUUUAUACCGACUCGGCGGUAUUUCAAAAAUCAUAUAGCAUAAUAUUGUUAUGUUAUGGUUGAUUUCAAAUAAAUGGAUCAAAUCCGAUCCACAAUGAAUAUCAUGAAAUAAAUUCUGUUUUUUUAAUAUAUAUAAAUACGAGAACUUUAAUAUCUUAUUUGUUAAUGAGUGAAUGAGAGAAAAUAAACUAGACUAAAAUUUUGAUGAGUAGUUGAAUGGUUCACACCGCCAUAUAUCAUGUAUACCGACUGAAUAUAUGCAAAUCUGGGCGACGAGUGUUGAUUUAGUUCUUUUAAAUAAAUUUAAUAUCAAACAAAAUGUUAAAUCAAACUUUAAAUUUAUUAAUAAAUAUUUAAUAAUAUAAUAUAUAUGUAUGUAUAUAUGUAUCAUCAGUAUCGUAUAGAUAUAUAAACAAAUCAUAAUAUUAGUUUGUAUUAUAAAUUCUUGUUAAAUAACUGAAAUAUUUUUUUGAUUAAGACAUUCAAUAGUUUUGAAAUUUUAUUCAUUCAAAAUAUUUAGUCAAUCCAGAAAAUCAAUUUUAAAUUUAACAAAUGAAAAAUAAUUCAAUCAUUCAAAAUAUUACUCAUCCAGAAUUCUCAUUCAUUCAGAAAAUAUGAUUCAUAUUUAACAAAUAUGAUUUUUUUCGAAGGAGUGUCUUUUUGGGAGAUUUUUUGAUUAUAUAUAAUGAUUUUAUCUUCUCAUCAAUUAACGAUUUUGCGCUUUUCUAAAUGAUUUUAUUUAAAUGUUUAGCAAUAAUUUUUGUACUUGAUUUCUUAUUUCUCUUUUACAUUCCUUCCUUCCGGCCCGCGCUUCUUCUGUCUUUUAAUUGGAUUUUCUUUUCAAUCAUUGAAUUUAACUGACUAAAUUUUCUGAGGUCAUCUCAGCAUGACAUUUCGGUUAGAAAGUAGAUUUGUCGACCCUGCUAUUCUUGGCCGUCAAAACCUUGUCAAAAAUAUAUUUUCGACCGCAACCGGUUGAAAUUACAACUUCCACUCUUCUCAGCCGAAAUCAAACACAUAAUGAUAGUAGAAAAUACAUUUUCUACCGUUUGCAGUCAAUAUAUAUUCAACCAUAGAUGAUCGAAAAUGUAUUUUCUAUCGUGCCUAGUUGCAAAUAAUAUUUUGCGCCCUAAUAUUUCAUAUAAGAAAAAGCGGCAAGAUUUCCGCCCAAGUUUUAUUUUCGACAACAAUCUUAUUUGACGGGGGAUGUGGGCAGGAAAAUACCCACUUAUGUGUUGGAGGGAUUGACUGCUUGUACGGAGUCGAAAUUAGCCUGGCCCGUUCGAUCAGCUUCUUAUUCAACUGUGUCGCGGCGCCAACUUUAACUUCUACUAAUUAUUUUCGAUCCGGCUAUAUUCUCAACCGUAUACGAUCGAAUAUAAUCGAUAUCGAAAAUAGUCACUUUUACUCAUGUAGUGUUUCCUUUUUUGGGUCCUCGGACUUUAUAUUUUCCUUGGAGUGUUUUUUUUUCAAAUAUUAAGAUUUUUUUCUAUUUUUUUUAUGAGACAUCUCUGUAUGUCCUCUGUUUAGAUGAAAUACUUUCAUGUAUGGAAUAAGCUCUUGCUUUCGAUAUUGUAUAUGAGUAUAAUUCAUUUACGUGAAAUUUAAUGACACAAAAAGGUUAUAGCACUACAACAGAUUCAGCAUCAGCUCUUAAAACAGUUGUCUAACAUGCAUCAUUACACAAUACCACAGUUAAGAAAACGUUGUCUAACUGAAUUUACUAGACAACAUUUUUUUAACCGUUGUAGGGCGUAGGUGUUAGACAAUAGUUUUUCGAGGACGAAAAGAAAGUGUUGUGUCUUAAUUCCAAACAACGCUUUUUUCACCCUGCGUUGUCUGAUCAGUGUUGUCUAAUGGUGUUUUUGUUGUAGUGUAGUUAUAAUUUAUUUAUAAUUUAAGGCUAGAUCUUAAUUAGUUCAAUAUCCAGUUGAACGCAAUGUGUAACCGAAUCAUAUUAUAUACUCAACAAAGACCUAUAAUAAUUUAGUACAUAAGGACCGAUAAAUCGCCCCACUGAAUUGACUUCUCUUACAAACUGAGCUCACUGUAAAAAUCCAUAUAUUAAACACAGCCAAAGCAGCUACUAGUAAAUUAAAAACCGAGACAACCACAGUCGUUUAAAAUGACCGCUGGAGUUUCAUUUUCAUACUUUCCUGAAAAAAAAGGCAAGGAUUAAUAAACCCACGGUAUCUUAGAAAUAUACACUGCAAUUCUUAGCCGUGUUUUGAUUUUAAAAGUUAAUCCCACGUUUUCUUCUCCCUAUAUAUGGAGCAACGAGAGCUAGCUCUUAUGCUCCACACAAAAUUAGUUUAAUCAUAUACAAAAAUUCAUAAUGAAAAUAUCAUCAAUAGCUUUCCCCUGCCUUGGAAUGGCUUUCGUGGCAUUUUUUCUGGUUUCCUGUAAUGCAGCACCUGAUAUUGUGCGUGACAUGAAUGGUGACAUACUCCGAGAGGGGGCUAACUACUACAUCAUUAUGCCGGUGGACCACGGAAAGGCCGGUGCAGUAACUUUGUCGAGCAGGAAUGGCUCCUGCCCGCUUGAUGUCGUUCAGAGCAAAUAUGGGACCGAUAAAAGAUACCUUAACAUUUUCUCAUUCACACCAGUUAAUCUCAAAAAAGGCGUGGUUCGUGAGUCGACUGAUCUAAACAUCGAAGCUGCAGGUGGAUCUUUCUGCGGAGAGCCAAUGGUCUGGAAGCUAGACAGUUACGGGGGAGAGUUUGUUGUGAGUACUCGGGGAGAAAAAGGAAAUCCUGGAGCUAAAACUAUAGGCAACUGGUUCAAGAUUAAAAAAUAUUUGAAUCACUACAAGUUUGUGUACUGCCCAUCAGUAUGCAAAACUUGCAAACCAAUGUGCAAAGACAUUGGCAUUUCGAGGAAGGGUAAGAGUGGAAGAUUGGUUUUUAAUGAUAAACCAUUCAUGGUUUCAUUCAAGAAGUUCUAAAUGUUGUAUACCGACUCGACUGUAUUUUAAAAAUCAUAUAGCAUAAUAUUAUUAUGUUAUGGUUGAUUUCAAAUAAAUAGAUCAAUUCCAAUCUACAAAAUCAAUAAUAUUUUCUCUUCGUUGUCAUAAUAUGAUUAUUGAAUAUUUGUGCUGAUAAAGGUUGGAGUUCGCAAUUCAAGUUAAGUUUGUGGAGCCUAAAGAAGUUGACACAAUGAAAAUCAAAUCCACAAUGAAUAUUAUGAAAUAAAUUCUGUUUUUUUAAUAUAUAUAAAUAUGAGAACUUUUAGAUCUUUUUUGUUAAUGAGUGAACGAGAGAAAAUGAAAUAGACCAUUCUUUUUCACCAUCCAUGUUAUUUGUUUUACACUUUCAAAAUUUGGAUGAGUACCUGAAUGGUUAACACAACUGUAUAUCAUGUAUACCAACUGAAUAUAUGCAAAUCUGGGCCACAGAGGGUUGAUUUUAGUUCUUUUAAAUAAAUUUAAUAUUAAAUAAUAUGUUAAAUCAAACUAUAGAUUUAUUAAUAAAUAUUUAAUAAUAUAAUAUAUAUGUAUGUAUAUAUGUAUCAUUAAUAUCGUACAAAUAUAUAAAAAAAAUCACAAUAUUAGUUUGUAUUAUAAAUUCUUGUUAAAUAAAUGAAAUAUUUUAAGAUUAAGACAUGCAAUAAUUUUGAAAUUUUAUUCAGUCGAAAUAUUUAGUCAUCCAUAAAAUCAAUUUUAAAUUUAGCAAAUGAACAAUAAUUCAAUCAUUCAAAAUAUUACUCAUCCAAAAUUCUCAUUCAUUCAGAAAUAUGAUUCAUGUUUAACAAAUAUGAUUUUUUCGAAGGAGCGUCUUUUUUGAAGUUUUUUUGAUUAUAUAUAAUGGUUUUAUCUUCUCAUCGAUUAACCAUUUUGCGCCUUUCUAGAUGAUUUUAUUUAAAUGUUUUGCAGUAAAUUUUGUACUUAAUUUCUUAUUUCUCUUUUACUUACCUUCCUUCCCGAGCCUCUUGUGUCUUUUAGUUGGAUUUUCUUUUCAAUCAUUAAAUUUUACUGACUAAAUUUCCGAGGUCAUCUGUGCAUGACAUUUAGGUUAGAAAUUAGAUUUGUCGACCGUGCUAUUUUCGACCACCAAAACCUUGUCAAAAAUUAAAACUUCGAGUCUUUUCAGCCGAAAACACAUAAUGAUAGUAGAAAAUACAUUUUUGACCGUUUGCAGUCAAUAUAUAUUCAACCAGAGAUGAUCGAAAAUGUAUUUUUCUACCGUGCCUAGUUGCAAAUAAUAUUUUGCGCCCUAAUAUUUCAUAUAAGAAAAGGCGGCAAGAUUUCCGCCCAAGUUUUAUUUUCGACAACAAUCAUAUUUGACGGGGGAUAUGGGCGGGAAAAUACCCACUUAUGUUUUGGAGGGAUUGACUGCUUGUACGGAGUUUAAAUUAGCCCGGCCGUUCGAUCAGCUUCUUAUUCAACUGUGUCCCUGCGUCAACUUGAACUUCUACUAAUUAUUUUAAAUCGGGCUAUAAUUUCAAACAUAUACGAUCAAAUAUAAUCGCGAUCGAAAAUUAGGAUCGAAAAAAUCACAUUUCCUGUAGUGUUUCCUUUUUUGGGUCCGCGAACUUUACAUAUUUCUUUUAGUGUUUUCUUUUCUGAUAUUAAGAUUUUUUAUUUAAAUAUUUAUGAGACAUUUAUGUGGAUGUCUUCUGUUAGAUGAAAUACUUUCAUGUAUGGAAUAAGCUUUUGCUUUCAAUAUUGUAUAUCAGUAUAACUUAUUUACGUGAAAUUUAAUGCACACAAAAAGGUUAUGGUUUCAAUUUAUUUAUAAUUUUAGGCUAGAUCUUAAUUAGUAAUAUGCAAUUGAACAAAAUGUGCAACUCGAACUACGUUUACUUAGUUCCUAGAGUUCUCAUUUUUGACAUUUGUAUAUCUACUCAGAAAUGUAUUCAUAUUUAGGCGUAAGGAAAGAUUGACUAAUUUUGCUUCUUGUUUUUCGUUUUUUACUUUCGCUUUGUAAUAGAAGCACAUAGAUGAUUUUGCAUUUGUGUCAACUUUCUAAUAGAGGCUCUAGACACGCAUUUCAAAUUAAUCCGGUGUCUGGUUCUUGUUGUUAUUAUAAUAAGGAUCCUCUGGUUUGCAAUUUAGCAUAUAACUUUAAACAUUAAAACCACCAAGUGAAAAUGAAAACAGCAAUUUUCUCACUGUCCUGCCUUCUCAUUGCCUUCACAACCAACCUCUGGCUCGCUUAAUUCUGCCGCAACAAAUAGAGUGAUGGACGUGAAUGGUAAGGAUCUUGUAGCCCGGACCGACUACUAUCUCCCUUUUAUACAUUAAAAAUUAAUGGGUGCCACCACUUCACCCUUUUUUUUCGCUCUUUCCCGCUACCUUAUACAGAUUUCUUAACCUCUUUGACUAAAUCUUAUGUAAACAAAUGGCUGGGACGGAGGGAGUAUUUUUGAUCUGCUGGUCAAUAUCUACAGCAGGCCAAGCACUGUUGAAUGCAUAUAGCCAAUAUUCAAUGGAUUUAAUCAUGAAAAUUAUUCAAGUAAAAAACCAAUAGUAAGCCUUUGAUGAUAUUUAUAAGCACCGAUAAUAAGUUAACCAAAUGCUUUUAACUAUAAAGCUGCUGGUAAAUCUUUCUGGGACCAAAAGCAAUGGUAAUUAGGUUUGUGUUAAAUGAAAAGCAAUUUUAAAAUAAAAACUGGUGACUUGGCUACACAAAUUAUUCAACAAUCCAAAUUAUCAAUUUUCAUUUCAAUUGGAUUUUAUCAGAGUGCGGCCGUUAAGUUGACAGUUAACUAGUAGGUUUGUGUCCUAAAAUUCAUAUUAUAUAUAUACUCAACAAAGACCCAUAAUAAUUUAGUACAUAAGGAUUGAUAAAUCGCCCCACUGAAUUGACUUCUCUUACAGACUAAGUUCACUGCAAAAAUCCAUAUAUUAAACACAGCCAAAGCAGCUACUAGUAAAUUAAAAACCGAGACGUCACAGUCGUUUAAAAUGAUCGCUGGAGUUUCAUUUUCAUACUUUCCUGAAAAAAAAGCCAAGGAUUAAUAAACCCAUGGUAUCGUAGAAAUAUACACUGCAAUUCUUAGCCGUGUUUUGAUUUUAAAAGUUAAUCCCCCAUUUUCUUCUCCCUAUAUAUAGAGCAACGAGAGCUAGCUCUUAUGAUCCACACAAGAUUAGAUUACUCAUAUACAAUAUAUAUUCAUAAUGAAAAUAUUAUCAAUAGCUUUCCCAUGCCUUGGAAUGGCUUUCGUGGCAUUUUUUAUGGUUUCGUGUAAUGCAGCACCUGAUAUUGUGCGUGACAUGAAUGGUGACAUACUCCGAGAGGGCGCUAACUAUUACAUCUAUAUGCCGGUGGACCAUGGGAAGGCCGGUGCAGUAACUUUGUGGAGCAGGAAUGGCUCAUGCCCGCUUGAUGUCGUUCAGAGCAAAUAUGGGACCAAUAAAAGUUACCUUAAUAUUUUUUCAUUCACACCAGUUAAUCUCAAAAAAGGCGUGGUUCGUGAGUGGACUGAUCUUAACAUCGAAGCUGCAGGUGGAUCAUUCUGCGG
rnacentral:lncRNA from 1 species